GAUAGGCCCCAAAUUAAUAUAAUGGCUUUAAAACUGUGUUAAUAGAAUAAGAACAACUGGGGUUCCUAAAUGAGAUUAGUAAUGGACAGGCUUCCUGAAUGACAGCUUGCCUACCACUACCAGCACACAAGCAUGGUAAAGUGAUAGGUGUGUUCUAGGCCAGCCUUUCCAACCAGAGUCAUGACCCAGCCAUGCAGGGUCCCACUGCGCAGGCACGGUGGCCUCCCAAAUGGCAGUCAUGCCAGGCAAUAGGCCCAAAAAGAGCCAAAGAGGCCUGAACCGGGAGAUUUCUAAUAGAAGGAAGGACGGCGGGGAGAGGGGGAACCUCCUCAGACACCACCACCCUGCCACCUUGGAGAAGGCCCCUGGAGGGGAUUGCGCGAAGUUGGGGAACUGGUAGCACCACCUGAGCGCAUGCACAACAAAGGUGGUCAAAUAGGAUGUCCAACAUUUUGCACAAGUACAGCACUAGGCUGGAACAGAAGCCCCCAUCUUUGUGGAAUGACAUUGCACCUAUCCUUGUGCCAGCACAACAUUAGUGUAGUUAUCAGCCAACACUAAUGAUAUAGCUAUCUUGCUGAAGCUAAUCAGGUCUAGGUCUGGUCAGUGCCUGGAUGAAUGACUGCCUGAGAACUCCAUACACGCCAUCUUGGUUUGUACAAUAGAAGAAAGAUGGGAUAUCAGUGUAAUAAAUCAGAUGUAAGCUGACAGAGCAAAAGGACCCUGGUUUGAGUCUGCUGCCUGUGAUACCACCUCUCAUGUAUUCAUGAAACCUCUUCCAGCUGUGCUAUAUCCAGAUGUGAAAUAAAAAGAUCCCUCUGUACGUUUUGGUAGAAUUGAUAUAACCAACAAGGCAGGGAUGCCAUUCUCAACCAGUUUCCCAAGAAGCAACAACAUAAGAUGUUCAGGUAAAUAAAAUAUUCCUUGGUGAUCACAA